rnacentral:tRNA from 2 species
GUGGGUAUAGCUCAGCUGGCAGAGCGCCAGAUUGUGGUUCUGGAUGUCGUGGGUUCAAGUCCCAUUAUCCACCCCA